GAGUUAGCCGGUGCUUCUUCUGCGAGUAACGUCACAGCCAGCAGAUAUUAGCUACUGACCUUUCCUCCUCGCUGAAAGUGCUUUACAACCCGAAGGCCUUCUUCACACACGCGGCAUGGCUGCAUCAGGGUUUCCCCCAUUGUGCAAUAUUCCCCACUGCUGCCUCCCGUAGGAGUCUGGACCGUGUCUCAGUUCCAGUGUGGCUGAUCAUCCUCUCAGACCAGCUAGGGAUCGUCGCCUUGGUGAGCCAUUACCUCACCAACUAGCUAAUCCCACCUGGGCAUAUCCAAUCGCGCAAGGCCCGAAGGUCCCCUGCUUUCCCCCGUAGGGCGUAUGCGGUAUUAGCAGUCGUUUCCAACUGUUAUCCCCCUCGACUGGGCAAUUUCCCAGGCAUUACUCACCCGUCCGCCGCUCGCCGGCAAAAGUAGCAAGCUACUUUCCCGCUGCCGCUCGACUUGCAUGUGUUAGGCCUGCCNCCAGCGUUCAAU
rnacentral:rRNA from 1 species